UACGAAGGGGGCUAGCGUUGCUCGGAAUCACUGGGCGUAAAGGGCGCGUAGGCGGCCGAUCAAAUCAGGGGUGAAAUCCUGGAGCUCAACUCCAGAACUGCCUUUGAUACUGGGAAGCUUGAGUCCGGAAGAGGUGAGUGGAACUCCGAGUGUAGAGGUGAAAUUCGUAGAUAUUCGGAAGAACACCAGUGGCGAAGGCGGCUCACUGGUCCGGUACUGACGCUGAGGUGCGAAAGCGUGGGGAGCAAACAGG
rnacentral:rRNA from 1 species